GGAACAGCGACGUCCAAGAGGUCAUGUGACCAGUUGAGGUGUACGUCAUGCGACUUCAAGGUGCUGAUGUUCGAUGACUGCGAGUGGGACCCGUCCUGCGAUUACCUGUUCUUCAGAAACAAUAUGCCGGAGCGUCAGAAGCUGGGGUCGCGGCUGAGGAGGAGGAGAGGUCAGAGGUCGUACGCCUGUCAGUGCAGCUGGACCUCUGCGUCGGAGGCUGCAGACCUCAGGGAUCGUCCUCGGCUCAGAUGGGUCUGCGGCAAACACCACGACUGAGAAACUGAAACACGCUCUCCGGAGAACUCAGACGUUUAGGACGGAGGACCUUCUGCCGCUCAUCAGCUGAUCUCUGUCUCUCAUUCUCCACAAAACACACCCUCAGACAGAGACAUCUGCACAAGUAGGAAAGAACUUUUGGGAAGCUUCAACCCCGAUGUCAGAAUCAGAAUGAGAUGAAAACCUCAACGUACGGUCCCUCGGCCAUAACAUCAUCACAUGCUGCUUUUCAUUAUAUCAUGCUUUACAUCCAGAGACCACUGUUGGCCUCUGAGAGGAAAAGUGAUCGAGGCGUGAGUCAAGGGUUCAAGGCUUUUAUUUGUCAAAGCUACAGUGUAGUUAUGACGAUGAAAAUCUUCGGUCACAGGCUCCUCCAACAGAGCAACACAGAUAAACACAAACAAAUAGUGCAAGUCGUGAGUCAAUACAAAAGGAAAAAUAGUACAAAGUGUGUGGACAGGAGGAGGAGAAAGAUGGAGCGUCUGCUGCCAGAGGACGAACCGAGGAACAGACAUUACAGACAAACAGGACAUGUUCGUGGACGGGUCAAUGACGGGACAUCCUGCUCCAUAACAUGUCUUCUGUCAGACUCAUGGGAAGGAAACAUCCAGAGUCCACAUCCAACAGUUCAUUCAUUACUCCUAAACCCACCAACAGUUAGCAUCACAUGAAGCCUCAUUUGCAUAUUUAAACAUAACAUGUCAGAAAACUUGUAAUGUAAAAAGUAAUCGUGUUAAUGUCGGCGAUGAAGUGGGGGAGUCUCACGGUGAUAUCUGUUCGUGACAGUUUGUUCCCUAAUCGCAUGAAGUGUGUACAACAUGUGAGUUUAGCCCAAAACAAAUCUUGUUUUGUGUUCAUAUCGACGUCGGGAUCCGGAGUCGAGGCUGAUCCUCCUGCUGUGGUCCUGUGUCCUGGAUCCUCUAUCCUGAGUUCUGGAUUAAGUCGUGGACUUCGGGUCGUGGCUGAUCCUGUCUCUGCGGUCCUGCCUGGGUCUCGUCGUGCUGCCUCCCUGAAGGAUUGUUGACAUCCUCGUGGAUUCAUCUUCUUAUUAUACACACAUGCAUUUCCAAACAUUUGGUCUACCUAUGUUGCAAAUGUAUUAUCUUUUCAAUUUACACACGGCAUCUAUUGCACGUCUGUCCGUCCUGGGAGAGGGAUCCCUCCUCUGUUGCUCUCCCUGAGGUUUCUCCCAUGUUCCCCUUUAAACUGUGGGUUUUCUCUGGAAGUGUUUCCUUGUACGAUGUGAGGGUCUAAGGACAGAGGGUCUAAGGACAGAGGGUGUCGUUUUCUUCUCAUACUGAUAUUAUGAACAAACUGUGCUGUUCUAUUUGCUGUAAAGUGUCUCUACUGUAGGCUAUUUUUAUUAUAUAUAUUGUACAGCACUUUGGCUCGACCACAAAUCGUUUAUAAAUGUACUAUAUAAAUAAAACUUGAUUUGAUUU